UAACAUAUAUGUCCCUAUUAACUAAGAUAAACUUAUAUGAACAAAUCAUGUCAUUUUUUUUUUGUUUACAAAUGUUGCCAAUGAGGAUUAAAUUUUUAUUACAUUAUAAAGUGGUUAAAUUUUUUAUUUUUGUUUCUUACAUACAAAAUAGGAAACAAUGUCUAAAACUCUUGUGUUUAUUUCUGCUAUUACUCUCGUCCUUUCUCUGUUUCUUGUAACCUACAACGAUUCUGAGUCAAAAAAUAAUAUGAUAGACUCAACUCAUAUCUGCAAUUUUGACUCUGAUUGUCACAGUUUACCAUGUGGCCCCGUUGCAACUGGGAGAUGUAUUGAGUAUGGGUGUGAAUGUGUUUUGAAUGUUCAAAUCUUGGCCCCCUGCAUAUAUAAUGUAACGUCCUGUCAAUUGAGUUAAGCUCGCGACAACUGUAAUCAAUUUUUAUUUUAUAUGCAUAUGAUUUGUUUUCGUCGGUUAAUUGGUAAAUACCUUCAAAUUAUGAAGGGGUAGUUUAUAAAAAAAAAAACCAAAAAUAAAAUAUUAAGAGUUAACAUUAUACUCUUAAUUUAGUUUUA